CCUACGGGAGGCAGCAGUGAGGAAUAUUGGUCAAUGGACGAGAGUCUGAACCAGCCAAGUAGCGUGAAGGAUGACUGCCCUAUGGGUGGUAAACUUCUUUGAUAAAGGAAUAAAACGAGGCACGUGUGCCUUUUGGCAUGUACUUUAUCAAUAAGGAUGGCCUAACUCCGUGCCAGCAGCCGGGGUAAUACGGAGGAUCCGAGCGUUAUUCGGAUGUAGUGGGUUUAAAGGGACCGCAGAUGGGUUAUAAAGUCAGUUGUGAAAGUUUGUGGUUGAACCGUAAAACUGCAAUUGAUACUGGCAGUCUUGAGUAUAGGUGAGGUAGGCGGAAUUCGUGGUGUAGCGGUGAAAUGCUUAGAUAUCACGAAGAACACAGAUUGCGAAGGCAGCUUACUAAACUGUAACUGACAUUGAUGCUCGAAAGUGUGGGUAUCAAACAGGAUUAGAUACCCGUGUAGUC
rnacentral:rRNA from 1 species